GCCCAGCCUGGCAGCGCCGCCCUUCCGCUCCAGGGAGAGCCGAGAGCAAAGGGGCGCAGUAGCCUUUCUCACGGCCGUGAGCUGUUCUCCGGUUCUGUCCGCAGAGCAGACCUGGACCCUGAGAACCGGGGACCGAGGGCAGGUCGCGUAAGGGGGCGCGCGGGCUCCUUGGCGGGGCUGGCAGCCGUCAGCCACCCCGGGGCGAGUCAGCCCCUGGGAAGCGGCGUCCGAGGACGACUCUCUGAAGCGGGCUGGAGCUUUCCACCGUCGCACCGAGGCCGCUGUCUGACCCCGUCCCCGGCCGGAGAGGCCGGAGCUGCUCAGGCCCCUGGGCCGGGCCCCUUUCUGGAGCCCGUCCACGAAGGGGGCCCAGAAGUGCUUUCGAAACUUCGGGGCUGGCGUCAGGGCCAGGGUACAGCCCCGGCUCAUUUCACAAAUAGAUUUCUGCCCCACUGCCCUAGUCUUAGCACAGAGCGGACAGAAGCCAGGUCCAGGAGACCAGAGUCUUCCCGCCCUGUUCUCCAGCCCACUCUUCCAGAACCGUCCACAGAGGCCUUGUCCUCCAGGGCUGCUGACCACAGUUUCCCAGCCUCUCGAGGGGAGAUGAGGGGAGGAAACCAUCCCAGGGUUUUUAUUGCCAAAUAUUUCUUUCCCGAGGAGGACAACGCAGUCGACUCGCCAAGUGGAGAUUGGAGUGGGUCCAGUGGUAAACCAACUUAAUGAACACUAAUAGAGAACUGCAGUUAUUGUUGACUUCAGAAUGCAAACAAGAACUUGAGACACUGAUUCCCGUCAGCCGGUCAGGCCGGGACAGAUGCUGCGCACUCUUUUCACCGUUGCUUAGCAAUGGGAAAGGAACUGUUCUGUCUCUUAUCACUGGAGGUGGAGAUUAAGUUUUGAACUUUUGCCAGGAGUGUCCUUCCAAAAGUAUCAUUAGAGAAAAUAGCUUCACACAGAGACUCACAGACCAGAGUAGGAAUGAAGGUUCCAACAUGGCAGCAUGGCUCAGCACUGCCUCAGACCUUGUUCCUGCCUCACACGUGUUCACAACACAGGAGAAUUCUGGAGCAUCUGUUUCCUCAGAAGAAUGAUUGUGCUGGGCGGUAGAGGAUCAUGCAGCUGGGCAGAAGGCUUCCCUUCCCCAGUGGGAAGAGGAUCUUUCUGCAGUCCUUUCCGAAGGCUUCUUCCAAGACUGAAGUGGUUUGCCAGAGUACAUCAUGUGAAAUGCUGGACUGAAUGAAUCACAAGCUGGAAUCAAGAUUGCCGGGAGAAAUAUCAACAACC